UACGGAGGGUGCAAGCGUUAUCCGGAAUUACUGGGUUUAAAGGGUGCGUAGGCGGCGCUGUAAGUCAGGGGUGAAAGGUUCCGGCUCAACCGGAGAAUUGCCUUUGAUACUGCAGUGCUAGGAUUGGGUUGAGGUUGGCGGAAUGUGACAUGUAGCGGUGAAAUGCAUAGAUAUGUCAUAGAACACCGAUUGCGAAGGCAGCCAACUGGACCUUGAUUGACGCUGAGGCACGAAAGCGUGGGGAGCAAACAGG
rnacentral:rRNA from 1 species